rnacentral:rRNA from 1 species
UACGAAGGGUGCAAACGUUGCUCGGAAUUAUUGGGCGUAAAGCGCACGUAGGCGGCUUUGCAAGUCGGAUGUGAAAUCCCUCGGCUUAACCAAGGAAGUGCAUCCGAAACUGCAGAGCUUGAGUACUUAAGAGGAUCGCGGAAUUCCCGGUGUAGAGGUGAAAUUCGUAGAUAUCGAGAGGAACACCAGUGGCGAAGGCGGCGAUCUGGGAAGAUACUGACGCUGAGGUGCGAAAGCGUGGGGAGCAAACAGG